AGAGUUUGAUCCUGGCUCAGGACGAACGCUGGCGGCGUGCCUAAUACAUGCAAGUCGAACGAGAGCGACCGGUGCUUGCACUGGUCAAUCUAGUGGCGAACGGGUGAGUAACACGUGGGUAACCUGCCCAUCAGAGGGGGAUAACAUUCGGAAACGGAUGCUAAAACCGCAUAGGUUCUUGAGUCGCAUGACUCAGGAAGGAAAAGAGGCUUCGGCUUCUGCUGGUGGAUGGACCCGCGGUGCAUUAGCUAGUUGGUGAGGUAACGGCUCACCAAGGCCGUGAUGCAUAGCCGACCUGAGAGGGUGAUCGGCCACAUUGGGACUGAGACACGGCCCAAACUCCUACGGGAGGCAGCAGUAGGGAAUCUUCCGCAAUGGACGCAAGUCUGACGGAGCAACGCCGCGUGAGUGAAGAAGGAUUUCGGUUCGUAAAACUCUGUUGUUAGAGAAGAACAGCGCAUAGAGUAACUGUUAUGCGUGUGACGGUAUCUAACCAGAAAGCCACGGCUAACUACGUGCCAGCAGCCGCGGUAAUACGUAGGUGGCAAGCGUUGUCCGGAUUUAUUGGGCGUAAAGCGAGCGCAGGCGGUCAAUUAAGUCUGAUGUGAAAGCCCCCGGCUCAACCGGGGAGGGUCAUUGGAAACUGGUUGACUUGAGUGCAGAAGAGGAGAGUGGAAUUCCAUGUGUAGCGGUGAAAUGCGUAGAUAUAUGGAGGAACACCAGUGGCGAAGGCGACUCUCUGGUCUGUAACUGACGCUGAGGCUCGAAAGCGUGGGUAGCAAACAGGAUUAGAUACCCUGGUAGUCCACGCCGUAAACG
rnacentral:rRNA from 1 species